CGGAAGGAUCAUUAUUGAAUAAACUUGGUAGUGGUUGUUGCUGGUUCUUAGGAGCAAGUGCACGCCUCUCCAUCUUUACUUCUCCACCUGUGCACCUUUUGUAGACUUUUUGAUUAAGAAUAAGAAUAACAUUUCGAGGGUAACUCGGUUUGAGGAUCUGCUGUGCGCGAGUCAGCUUUCCUUGUAGUUAAUUAUCUCUCAAUCUGAAGUCUACGUUUUUAUAUAUACCCCAAAUGUAUGUUAUAAGAAUGUAUCAAUGGGCUUUAUUGCCUAUAAAACAAAUACAACUUUCAGCAACGGAUCUCUUGGCUCUCGCAUCGAUGAAGAACGCAGCGAAAUGCGAUAAGUAAUGUGAAUAGCAGAAUUCAGUGAAUCAUCGAAUCUUUGAACGCACCUUGCGCUCCUUGGUACUCCGAGGAGCAUGCCUGUUUGAGUGUCAUUAAAUUCUCAACCCCUUCAAGGUUUUUAUUAACUUUUGAAGUUGGGCUUGGAUGUGGGGGUUGCGGGCUUUUUCAAUAAAGUCGGCUCUCCUUAAAUAUAUUAGCGGAAUCUUUUUGUGAGCCGUCUUUGGUGUGAUAAUUAUCUACGCUAUAGAUGUUUGCAUAAUACGAGUUCAGCUUCUAACAGUCCAUUGACUUGGACAAAUCUUUAUUGACCAUUUGACCUCAAAUCAGGUAGGACUACCCGCUGAACUUAAGCAUAUCAAUAAGCGGAGGA
rnacentral:rRNA from 1 species